rnacentral:rRNA from 1 species
CAGUAGCCACGGUAAUACGAAGGGGGCUAGCGUUGUUCGGAAUUACUGGGCGUAAAGCGCACGUAGGCGGACAUUUAAGUCAGGGGUGAAAUCCCGGGGCUCAACCCCGGAACUGCCUUUGAUACUGGGUGUCUAGAGUAUGGAAGAGGUGAGUGGAAUUCCGAGUGUAGAGGUGAAAUUCGUAGAUAUUCGGAGGAACACCAGUGGCGAAGGCGGCUCACUGGUCCAUUACUGACGCUGAGGUGCGAAAGCGUGGGGAGCAAACAGGAUUAGAUACCCCCGUAGUCCCUGUCUCUUAUAC